ensembl:miRNA gmo-mir-146 gmo-mir-146
UGAGAACUGAAUUCCAUAGAUGGCUCGCUCAGGUAUCGUCUAUGGGCUCAGUUCUUUUG